UGUAUGUAUGGCUAGCCGUGCUAUACAUAUAGAAACUUUAAAUGAUCUAAGUACAGACGCAUUUAUAAACGGUUUACGACGUUUCCAGUGUAUUCGUGGACCUAUCCGACAGUUAAGAUGUGAUAACGGAACAAACUUUAUUGGAGCAAAACGCGAGUUACAUCAAGCCUUUCACGAGAUGGACAGUGGUCGAAUUCAGAAAUAUCUUGUAGAAAAUGGGUGUGACUAUUUUCAGUUUAAAACUAAUGUUCCAAAUGCUAGCCAUAUGGGUGGGGUGUGGGAGCGCCACAUUCGUUCUAUUCGAAAUGUUCUAUCGUCACUUUUGUUACAGAAUGGUUCUCAGUUGGAUGACGAUUCCUUGCGCACCUUUAUGUAUGAAGCUAUGUCAAUUAUUAAUAGUAGGCCACUUACAGUAGAUAACUUGAACGACGUCAAUUCGCUAACACCCUUAACUCCUAAUAACAUUUUAACUAUGAAGUCUAAGAUAAUAUUGCCUCCCCCUGGUGAAUUCCAGAAACCUGAUCUUUAUUCACGAAAACGUUGGCGUCGCGUUCAGUAUAUAUCAAAUGAAUUUUGGAGUAGAUGGAAGCAAGAGUAUCUGCAGAAUCAACAAGUACGUCAAAAAUGGAAUCGUGAAACUCGUGAUAUGCAUUGUGGUGAUAUAGUGCUCGUGGUUGAUGAUAAAUCUGCUCGCAAUCAAUGGUCUUUGGGACGAAUUAUAGAAACUUACAAAGAUAAAGAUAAUCAUGUGCGAACUGUCAAACUUUUAGUUGGUGACAAGAAGCUUAAUGCGAAAGGGAAACGUGUCUAUCCGAGAAGUGUUCUUGAACGUCCUAUUCAGAAACUGAUAUUAAUUUUGGAACAUGAAUAAACCGGGAUUCCCCAUCGAGGAGCCACAGACUUUCAGUAGAACUAUCAAACUGUUAUGCUUAACCGUUUAGUUAUUUGGUUUACUUUUAUAUCUCUGCUUUUUCUUUGUUCGUAGAUUAAUUGAAAAUUAGUUCCUAAUUUUGGGGAGCCAUGUAACGGUAGUCGUGCGAUAGACGAAGUGUUCCGAUUGCUAACUUUGUCUACUGGCUGUUUGUCGGCUAAUUUCCUAUUAAAGGGAGAAUUAAUUGAUGUUGUUUGUUGUUUCUCUUUAAUUUUGCCUUUACGUCUUAAGCUUGUAUAAUAUCAUAGUUUAUAUAUUAUUAGUUUGAGUAUUAAAUAUGUAGAUAUUUAUUCAGGGAAUCAAAUUAUGAUUAUAGGCAUUUAGUUAAGUUUAUUAUGUUUACCUAAUAAGCUUCCCUCAAAAUACGUGGUCUUUCGUAGAUCAUCAUGGCAGCCAAAUGCAUGAAAUCGGGAAAGGGGUGAAGUCAAAAAGUUUUCACGUAAUGUUUAGUGAAAUCUUCAGAAUGUACAUGUAAUAUUCAGUGAAAGCUUCAGAAUAUAAUAUUCAGCAUGUAAUCAAGUAUUAUUCAGCAUCGUCAGUAAUGAGUAAUAUUCAGCCAUGAUGUCUUCAGUAUAAUAUGUAGCACGUUGAUUAUAAUCAGAAUUAAAAGAGGAAUUCAUCCGUAUUCGAAUUCUCUCAUUAGGCUAUGUAGGCCCAUGCGUAUGCGACCUGAUUUGUGUAAGCUGAUGUGUGAACUGUUUAUAUUUGUAGCUGUUAUUUAAUAUAUAAAGUUUAUUACAUUGAAGAACUACACGUCGUUGUUUAUAUUUCGCUAAAUGUUUCAGUGUAGAAAGCAUUGACUUCAGAGUAUUCGUCCGCAGAGCAUCAUUCCUCUGUCAAUAUUAUUUGGCUGCUUCAGCGAUAGAGGCAUGCUGUUACAAGGCCUGUUGACAAUUAAUUGUUUUUGACUUACAUCAAUGAUGUACAAGAUGUACUCCAUAAUGUGGCUAGAUUAUUUGCAGACGACACGGCACUUGGGUGUAGCAAACAGUCAGUUUCAGAGAUAGAACAGUCCCUAAACUACGAUCUGACAAAUCUCAACAUUUGGGCGAAUAAUUGGCUUAUAAACUUUAAUCCAAACAAAACAAAAGCUAUUUUAUUUAGCUCCAAAAAAACAGAAAAUUAUCCGAGUCUGAUAUUCGAUAAUCAAGCACUUGAAGUGGUUAAAUGUCACAAACACUUGGGCAUUACCCUUUCAAAUGACGCCAAAUGGACCAUCCAUAUAGAAACUAUUAUCUCGUCCACCUCAAAAUUAUUAAAUAUUUUGCGUAAACUAAAAUUCACCUUUAAUAGACAAACUCUAAAUAACGUAUAUUUGAUAUUCAUAAGGCCAAAAUUGGAAUACGCAUGUGAAGUGUGGGAUGGGUGUAACGUUUCCAAUACCGAAAAACUUGAAAAGGUACAGCUAGAAGCUGCCAGGAUUGUGACUGGACUAACUAAAACUUGUUCUCGUGAAGCGCUUUAUUUUGAAACCGGAUGGAAUAAAUUGUCAGACAGAC